GUCUGUGUGUGCGCGUGCCUGUGUGUGUGUGAGAGAGCGCGCGCACGUCUGUCUGUCUCGUGGACAGAGCCCUCAGCAGCUCCCCUCGCUCCGCUCUUCUAACCGCCGCUUCCAGCGCCCACAGCAGCAGCAGCACGGCCGCGGGUUGGAGGAGCCGCCCUCGCAGGAGAACCCACACCAGAACCGAACCGAACGAAGAAUGGCUGCUGAAGUGAAUGGCAGCUCUGCUCCAGCAAAGGAGGAAGAAGAACCCAUGGAUGUCUCAGCCGGACACUCAGAGAACUACCAGACGCUCAUAGAUGCUGGGCUGCCCCAAAAAGUAGCAGAGAGUCUGGACAACAUCUUUCAGACUGGUUUGGUGGCUUAUGCUGACCUAGAUGAGAGGGCAAUUGAUGCCCUGCGGGAGUUUAAUGAAGAAGGAGCGCUGUCUGUACUGCAGCAGUUUAAGGAAAGCGACUUGUCCCAUGUGCAGAAUAAAAGUGCUUUCCUGUGUGGAGUCAUGAAAACAUACAGACAGAGGGAAAAGCAAGGCAGCAAAGUACAGGAAUCCACAAAAGGCCCGGACGAGUCAAAAAUUAAGGCACUGCUGGAGAGGACAGGCUAUACCCUUGAUGUUACUACAGGCCAGAGGAAGUAUGGUGGCCCACCACCAGAGGAGGUGUUCUCUGGCACUCAGCCUGGCAUCGGCACAGAGGUGUUUGUGGGAAAGAUCCCUCGGGACUUAUAUGAAGACGAGUUGGUUCCACUUUUUGAGAAGGCUGGGCCAAUAUGGGACCUGAGGUUAAUGAUGGACCCGCUGUCUGGGCAAAACCGCGGUUAUGCGUUUAUCACCUUCUGCAGCAAGGAGGCUGCACAGGAAGCUGUGAAACUGUGUGAUAAUUAUGAGAUCAGGCCAGGCAAGUAUCUGGGUGUCUGCAUCUCUGUAGCCAACAACCGCCUGUUUGUCGGCUCAAUCCCAAAGAACAAGACCAGGGAGAGCAUCCUGGAAGACUUUGGAAAAGUGACAGAGGGUCUGCAGGAAGUGAUUCUGUACACGCAGGCUGAUGAUAAGAAGAAGAAUCGGGGGUUCUGUUUCCUGGAGUACGAGGAUCAUAAGUCGGCAGCUCAGGCCCGUCGGCGGCUCAUGAGCGGCAAGGUUAAGGUUUGGGGGAAUCCUGUUACCGUUGAGUGGGCUGACCCAGUUGCUGAGCCUGAUCCUGAAGUCAUGGCCAAGGUGAAAGUGUUGUUUGUUCGUAAACUAGCCACUCCAGUUACAGAGGAAUUGCUGGAGAAGACUUUCUCCCAGUUUGGAAAGCUUGAGCGUGUUAAGAAGCUGAAAGACUAUGCUUUCGUGCACUUUGAGGAGCGAGAUGCUGCUGUCAAGGCUAUGGAGGAGAUGAAUGGUAAAGAAUUGGGGGGAGAGGAGAUUGAGAUUGUCCUGGCUAAGCCCCCAGACAAGAAGAGGAAAGAGCGACAGGCUGCCAGGCAGACCAGCAGAAAUACAGGGUAUGACGACUAUUACUAUUACCCUCCUCCCCGCAUGCCACCUCCAGGGCGUGGGCGUGGCCGAGGGGGGAGGGGAGGCUAUGCGUACCCUCCUGACUACUAUGGCUAUGAAGAGUAUUAUGACGACUACUAUGGCUAUGAUUACCACGACUAUCGUGGCGGCUAUGAUGACCCUUACUAUGGUUAUGACGACAUGUAUACCAUGAGGGGGCGUGGCAGUCGUGGUAGCCGUGGUGCUCCACCCCCUCCUAGAGCACGUGGUGUACCUCCAGCCCGUGGUGGAAGAGGUGGCUACGCGCCAAGAGGAGGUGCUCCCAUGGGAGCAGGCCGAGGAGGGCGUGGUGGGGGACGUGGCGGACCCUUCCAGCCUCCUAGGGGGCGUGGCACCAGGGGGGCCCGCGGAAACCGAGGCGGAAACGUUGGCGGGAAAAGGAAGGCUGACGUGUUCAACCAACCCGACUCGAAGCGCCGCCAGACGACCAACCAGCAGAACUGGGGGUCACAGCCUAUCGCUCAGCAGCCGUUACAGCAAGGUGGCGACUACGCUGGCAACUACGGUUACAGCAACGACACUCUGGAGUUCUCCCAGGAUUCCUAUGGCCAGCAGUGGAAGUAGAAGACACAAACAGCAACACAAAAAGGUAUCCGAGCGAGAGAGAGACGUUGCUAGCUUGAGGAACACACCAGAACUGUGUUCUUCUCCAGGGGAGGGCAGCAGACACACAGAGUGAAGAGAUUCUCCUGACCUUCCCACUGUAACCAUGAUGCUGAAGGGUUUGAGUAAAUUCCAAAUCAAGGGGAAUUACAAAGGCAGGUAAUGAAGAUAAUGAUGUGGCUGAGUUUGUACUGAAUCUCAGCAGCCCUUGGACUACAUGGACAUGUGCCGGCUCCCCCCAGUACACAUUUUGUUGUAGAGACCUGGGUGGGCUCUGGCCUUGGGCUUCUGUGUUUUGAAGUGUAUUGUUCAUAUAGAUGAUGUUGCAGACAAAAAAUGCUGUAAAUAUUCUCUUAUUUGCUUUUCAUGUACAGGACUUGAUUUUGAUUUUAAUGGGGUGUGAAUUUAUUUUAAGAUUUGAAUUUCUUUUUGAAUUAUUUUAAUAAACAUUGUUUUAUAUUAAACUUGUUGCUUUUCUCUCUGCAUCAUUGAAGCCAAAUGAUCUGCUUUUUGCGGUUGUGAGACUCCAGGCAACUGCCUUGGUGAUUUUCACAAUGUAAAAGCAUUAGACAGGUAUACAUAUAUUAGAUUAUAGUAUAGUAGUUUAAAGUUUCUGUAAGUUGUUCUGUAACAGCUGAUGACUCCUGAAACUAAGAUAAUUAAGGGUUACUACAGUACUUUCAGCACAUAAUGCACAAGAUUGAGAACACUGUUCCAGUCUCUGUAGAGAAGUAUUGCCAUAAGAGGAUAUUCUGGAGCAUUGAUUUAUGAACCAAUUGGCCCAUGUCUAAUACCUGGUUUGUUAAAGUGAUCUUGAUAUUGAUGGGCCACUAACCAGUAUCUUGUUACUACACCUAUUAUCCAAAUUCUUAGCUCCGCUGAUCAUAUAAGAAGAGUUCAUAUUUCUAUAACUACUUGGAUAAAUGUAUGUAUGUCUGUAUGUAAUGCACAUAUCCUCCUUUCACCCAUUUCUUCACUGCAGAUGCAGCAGAUGUCUUUUUCUUUUUGGUCUUGCUGGUCUUCAUGUGGCUUUUGGAUUAGUUGUCUACUUUAGAAAGUGUGGAAAACUCCAUGGGAUGCGAACUUUAGCAUCUACAAUCACAUAAUCAUUGUGUGAAACCUUGUAUUUUAUGUGCAUUUAUAUAGAAGAUUAACCAAUACUCACAAUAUAUAUUCUUUACACAUAUACCGGUAGUUAAACAUUGCUUGAUCAGGCAUGUAACUAACACAGACUCUAUUAUAUGACAAACUAACCCACAUGAUACAUAAGGCAUUUAACUAACACAUAGGAUCUAUUGUAUGGCGUAUUAACCACGUGUUACUGACAUAUUAGCAUAUAACAUAUGAAAUCUAUUGUGUGACUUGUUUAGCUCACGCUUAAGGCAUUUUGGUCACUGCAUGAUCCUAACUAACGGCCAUCAAUCAUCGACUGGUGCACUCUGUACGAACUAAAUUGAUACAAAGGAGACUUCGGGAUGAACAGGGCGGCCUUUCUCUCUGCGUGUAAAGUCCUUCACCUAUCAAAGCGGGAGGAGGACACGCGCACAUAGGGAGGGCGGCACUGUCUAAUUCCUGAAACAAUGCCACACUGUCUGACUGGACCCAGUCAAUUCCUGAAACAAUGCCACACUGUCUGGCUGGACACAGUCAAUUCCUGAAACAAUGCCACACUGUCUGGCUGGACACAGUCAAGGCCAAACACUAGUGGUCCGGCCAGACAUGUGAAACUUGAGUACUAACACGUGAAAUUAUACAUAUUAACAUGAGCUAAUCAUUAGCAACGCCUCAUCAGCAGGUUUCACGUCAUUUGGGGUAUAAACAUGGAGUCAGAUCAGAGGGGGGUCAGAACUUUUACUGGGACGGCUGUUAACUGUCUUGUAUGUAUUGGUUCUCCUGAAUUCAGUAUUUUGUAAUAAAUACUUGAUUUGCUUUCAACUUCA